UUCGCCGCCACCACCCCCGACCACCGUUUGCAACGGGAUCAGUCUCAAAAUGACCAGUUAGUCUCCCUCUACCAGCCCCACCCCAUAGUCGCCGUGAUAUGCGGCGACCUACGGCUGAUUUUUACGUGAGAUUUCCAUCAUUCGUUUCGGACGUUUCCGGCUAUCAAAUCUUGCAAUCUAGGUGCUCCGACCAUACGUAGGUAGCAUGCGGGACCCUCUCAAGGCCAGGCAGCAUCGGACUAUUUAACCAUGCCUCCUCGACGUGCUAGGACGAGAUUUCACCUUCCGAGAUGGGGGGAAACUACACCACCUUCAACCACCACCAUCUCCACCACCAUCACCACAUCCAUCUCCACCACCUCAAACUGGCGAUGGGCAAGCUAGAGAAAAUGAGCUCGAUAUAUGUCACGUACUCGACCAGUUCAAUCAUACCAUGACUACUGCCCUACAAGGGAGACGUAAUAUGGAGGGCUCCGAUGGAUGUCUAGAAAAAUAUGGGCUAUAAAGAAAAUUUUUUAAGACGACGAUUUAUCACACGCACGUGAUUAAAAUAGAAACUGUUGAAACGAACAUCUAUAUAAAUACAAUUGGGAAAAAAAUAUUUACGAAACUUUGUAA